rnacentral:tRNA from 1 species
GCGCCUGUAGCUCAGUGGUAGAGCGUUCGUCUUAUACACGAAUGGUCCCUGGUUCGAUCCCAGGCGGGCGCA